UUGUUGCUUCACUGUGAUGUGUGGCUGGCGGCGGGAUAGCUGUGUUGUUUGUUAUUAGUGAGUUUUAAGAAGACAGGGCUCCAGGUAAACCCGCACACACUCAGAAUCCAGAGUGAGUCCAGCAGCCCCAGUGGAGAUCUGCUGGAUUUCAGGACCAGAGAGGAAUGGAGGAGGACAACCAGAACCUGGAGCAGCGGAGCAACCAGGUCCCCAGAAGACAAGCAGGAGACUGGGACUCUGAUAGCAGCCAUGUUCAGCGGUCUCCCCGGAAGUCGUGUUUGUUGUUGUUUGCCCGUGCUGAGCAGCGGGAGCAGUGAGGAGAGAAGCCGUUAGCUGAAUCCAGAUCAGGGAAUCCCAAACAGCGUUUCUUAGUCUGUUCAUCAGAGAUGGAGCGGCACCGGGAACACACGGAGGAGACCAAGCUGCGGGGAGAAGCUUUACCUCCAGUCGUUCUGGAAGUGAUUGUUAUUAAAGAGGAGCAGCAGGAGUGUAGCUCCAGUGUGGACCAGCAGGGGCCAGACCCCCCCCCACACAUUAAAGAGG